GAUGAACGCUGGCGGCGUGCCUAAUACAUGCAAGUCGAGCGAACAGAUGAGGAGCUUGCUCCUCUGACGUUAGCGGCGGACGGGUGAGUAACACGUGGAUAACCUACCUAUAAGACUGGGAUAACUUCGGGAAACCGGAGCUAAUACCGGAUAAUAUAUUGAACCGCAUGGUUCAAUAGUGAAAGACGGUUUUGCUGUCACUUAUAGAUGGAUCCGCGCCGCAUUAGCUAGUUGGUAAGGUAACGGCUUACUAAGGCAACGAUGCGUAGCCGACCUGAGAGGGUGAUCGGCCACACUGGAACUGAGACACGGUCCAGACUCCUACGGGAGGCAGCAGUAGGGAAUCUUCCGCAAUGGGCGAAAGCUUGACGGAGCAACGCCGCGUGAGUGAUGAAGGUCUUCGGAUCGUAAAACUCUGUUAUUAGGGAAGAACAAAUGUGUAAGUAACUAUGCACGUCUUGACGGUACCUAAUCAGAAAGCCACGGCUAACUACGUG
rnacentral:rRNA from 1 species